rnacentral:tRNA from 1 species
GUUUUCGUGGCCUAGUGGUUAGGGCGUCUGUCUUACAAAGUGUCUUGAAUCAAAUUCUUGGCCUUGACGAUCACAGAAGAUCCCCGGUUCAAUCCCGGGCGGAAACA